rnacentral:rRNA from 1 species
AGUGAACGCUGGCGGUAGGCCUAAUACAUGCAAGUCGAACGGCAGCACAGUAAGAGCUUGCUCUUACGGGUGGCGAGUGGCGGACGGGUGAGGAAUACAUCGGAAUCUACUUUUUCGUGGGGGAUAACGUAGGGAAACUGAUGCUAAUACCGCACACGACCUACGGGUGAAAGCAGGGGAUCUUCGGACCUUGCGCGACUGAAUGAGCCGAUGUCGGAUUAGCUAGUUGGCGGGGUAAAGGCCCACCAAGGCGACGAUCCGUAGCUGAUCUGAGAGGAUGAUCGGCCACACUGGAACUGAGACACGGUCCAGACUCCUACGGGAGGCAGCAGUGGGGAAUAUUCGACAAUGGGCGCAAGCCUGAUCCAGCCAUACCGCGUGGGUGAAGAAGGCCUUCGGGUUGUAAAGCCCUUUUGUUGGGGAAGAAAAGCAGCAGGUUAAUACCCCGCUGUUCUGACGGUACCCAAAGAGUAAGCACCGGCUAACUUCGUG